rnacentral:lncRNA from 1 species
UCAGUAUUUAAUUCUAUAUGAAUCAUAACUUAAUUUUUAAUUAAAUAAAUCUAUAUAUUCAAUCAAGUCUCAUACUUCUAAAUUGAACACAUAAAUAUCCAGUCAAGUCUUUGCUAUGUUGUUGACUUUGUGCGUGACUCCAUAGGUUCGAACACUAAGCCGAUAGUAUAAGAAUCCAUUCUUAUACUAAUCGAAGUGACUAUCUAGCAAUGAUAUCCAAUGUCCGGAU